rnacentral:lncRNA from 1 species
UGGGACUCUAGACACCACUCACAGCACAAUAAAUAAAGACACAAGCUCUUAUUAAGGGUUAGGAGGUUUGCUUACAAACAAAAGAUCCGAGCUAAUCUCUUGAACCUCCAUGGGCACGGUUCACUUGAACUUGGCAGGUUUGAGGCUUGGAUUCAGUAUCCAACACCUCUCCUUGGUGUGCCCAUCCCUCUUGCAAUGCUCACACUUCAGGCCUCUCCUAUCCCCCUUCUUGUAAGGCGCCUUGUUGGGCUGGGAGCUUCUUUCAGCUUGAGAAGCAAAGGAGAGUGUUUCCUUUGUUCCAAACAACCCGAUUGAUCCCUCCUCCUUUUGGACUUGGGAACACACUUCUUCAAGUGUUGGGAGCUUCUCAGACCUCAAGAUAUGUUGAAUCAAGGCGCUGUAGGCAGGGCUGAGGGUUAGUAGUAGGCCAAACACCUUGUCUUGCUCCCUUCUUUCAAUCAACACCUCCGGAUCAACAGAUUGGGGUCUAAGCAUCUCUAGCUCAGACCAAAGGGCUCUGAACUUGCCUAGAUGCGCAGUGAACUCCUCAUCUUCUUGGGAUAGGAUGUUGAUGGACUUCUUGAUCUCAAAUACUCGGCUGGUGUUGGAGAUGUUCCCAUAUAUCUUGUUAAGUGUACUCCAAAGGUCUUUAGCACUCUCACAGUAUGAGUAUGCUUCAAGGAUGGAUGGAGACAGUGAGCUAUGGAGAAUGGAUAAGACCUUGAGGUCUUCUUGUUCCCACUUCUCCUCAGAUACAGAUUUGGAACCGGAUUCACCAUCUGCUGAGCUUUCAUUUGAACCGGCAGUCUUGGAGAGCUUUGGAGCAUCCGUGAGGCAAUGGCUCCAUAAGCCUCUCCCUCCUAGAGCUGUUUUCACCAUACGUGACCAGAGAAGGUAGUUGGGACCAUUGAGAGUAACAACAAUGACAAUGAUUCUUUUGGACUCCAUGUUGAAGCCGGAUGAACAAGACUGUCAAAGAACUCUUCAAGGUAGUAUCUUGGGACAAGGUGAGCUGAAUCUUCAAGGGCGUGAGCUUGGGAUCUUGUGGAUGUUGCGGAAGCUUCUACCAGGAGUCUGAGCAACCUGGCUCUGAUACCAUGUGAGAUUUUCAGAGUACAAGUGCUUGAGUGAUGUAAGAACAGAUGAGAGAUUUGUGUAUGAUGAAGUAUGAAGAAUAGAAAUGAGUUUAAGAGAAUCAGAGAGAGUAUGGGAGAGACUAAGAGAUUAGGAACGUGUAUGGGAGAUUAGAGAGACUUAGUAACCAGAGAAUAAGAUCCAAGAACAAGUUUAUGAAGAAGAGAGACUCUCUCAGCUUAAGGGUUACAAAAUGAUCCUAAGAGGCUUAUUUAUGCCUUUACACAACUCAGAUCAUAAACCUAGAUCCUAAGGCUGUAAAUUAAAGAUAAAUGGAUGGUUAGGAUGAGAGGAAGCUGGUCUUUGAUGUUCUGGUGCUAGCUGGUCGUGGUUGGACUGAAUGGAGGGCUCAGAUUGCUUCAUUUGAAUUGGAUGGAUCAGAUGAGUCAAGGCUGUAAAGGUAAAGCACCUUUACCUUUCCAGCUCAUUCCAACAGCUCACCUUAUCCAUUUGAUUCUUCCUUUGCCUCCAAGACUCCCCAACUGACAUAAGGAAAGGAUUGGAUCAAAGUGAACCGCCCUCACAUUGCACAUCUUGAUUUGGGCUUAACCGGAUGACUUGGGCGAGAGGAGUGAGCUGUACGGUCAUUGGUACGGACCUCCUGUCCGUACCACUUGCCCUAUCUUUGUACAUUGCCCUAUCUUCCCUCUUGAUUACCCAGACAUCUUCAUGGCUUGCCCUAGGCCGUACAUGGCCGUACUGAACGCCCUAGCUUUGCACCACACUUCCAUCUUCUCUCUAACUCCUUCACAGCCUUCACAUGAUCAGUCUAAGUCUUUCCUAGACUUAACUUCACAAGAUAACUACUUCAGAACACCUCUUAGAAUCUCUUAAUCUCUUUAAUCUUUUCAUAUGAUUAUCCCUGAUUGGUUGAAUCAUGCUCUAAUACACAAAAGUGUAUAUUCUUGACAUCUUCUAGAGCUUUCCCUAUUGUUGUACAAGCUCUAUCUUCUCUUCAGUUCAACACUCCCCCUCAAGCUUGACUUUAGGAGAUCCUAAGCCAAGCUUGGAACUCUGAAGAGUCUCCCUCAUUAAAAACCUUACAAGGAAAACCCAUUGGGACAAAACCUUGCAAGGGAAAAAGAGUAGAGCUCUCCAAAGCCUAGGGAUUGGCCAGUGAGCUCUUGUGCCUUAGAACCAGUGUGGUUGGACACAAGAAGCUCUGGAUCACGGCCAAAUAGGUGCAGCAAUACUUCACAGCUUUGCGCACACUUCACACCUCAGCUUCACCUCUUCAUGGAACCGGUUUGGGNNNNNNNNNNNNNNNNNNNNNNNNNNNNNNNNNNNNNNNNNNNNNNNNNNNNNNNNNNNNNNNNNNNNNNNNNNNNNNNNNNNNNNNNNNNNNNNNNNNNNNNNNNNNNNNNNNNNNNNNNNNNNNNNNNNNNACACUUCACACUUCAGCUUCACCUCUUCAUGGAACCGGUUUGAAGUCUCCCCCUCUCAACUGACUUCUCAGCCAUCUUAGAGAAGCUAGGAACUGACCAGGAACAUCUUUAGUGAGGCUCAAGCAAUGGUACCUGAUACAUUAUCCCAAAGUGUUGAGAUGAGUUGAGACAUGUGAAGUAAAGACACAAAGGAGUUGAGAACAUAAGGAGAGCAAAAGGGUUAAGAGGCUGAAUAAGGUGAAGGGGAUGGUACGGAUGGAGAGGCCUUACCAGGCCGUACAAAUGACCAGGCCGUACAAGGUGAAAGCGGUCAAGUAACUAUCCAAGUAACUCUGAUGUACUGAGGAGAAGUUACACUCGGCCAAGACCUUAUCCGAACGUUGAGAGGAUAAGGAAGGCACGGCUUGACAGCUAGGACAGGCUGGCAAGGGCUGGAAAGGAAGAGCAUCUGGUCUUGGAUAAGAAAGAUGCUUCAAACGUGUGGAGACACCUAUUGGCCGGUUCAAAUUAAAGCUUAGGCUCCCCUUUGACUCUACAUGCUUAUGAUUUCGAAAACCGUAAGUGUAUGGACCUAUAUAUAUGUAAUCUCAUCCCUUAAUAAAGAUUAGACAGUUCUAAACAAUCUCUCUCUAUACUCAUUUCAUUAUGAUUCUUCAUUAGUCUCUAAUCUGUCUCUUAAUCUCUUAUUCUCUUCUAUAAUCCUUUCUAAACUCAGAUAAUCAUUUACAUCCUUAAAUCUCANNNNNNNNNNNNNNNNNNNNNNNNNNNNNNNNNNNNNNNNNCCAAAGGCUAAACUCAGAUAAUCAAGAAACAUCACACAAUCCAUUCAAACAUUUUAAGUAUCAUUUCUAGACUUUGAUUUGAAAUGAUGAAUGUAUUGAAUUGAAUUGAGUUUAGGGACACUUCCCUUUUGUUUUGAUGAGUUCCCACUCGGCCAUUGCACCAUCUCCAUGGCAUCAUCAACUUCUUGGAAAGGCAGAAUGGAUUCAUCAGCUUCUCAUCAAUCACUUCACCAUAGAAGCCGCUUUGAUGAGUUCACUUUCUUCCUUAGACUGCCUAGAAUAGCUCCGGCUGAUGAUCCUUUGUAGGAGCCUUUGCAAAGACUUGUUACUGACCAUGGAUCAUAUGCAUUAAGACUCCCCCUCAAGCUUAGAACCGAGACUAGAAGGAGCUAAGCUUGUGAUGAUCAUAUGCAUCCCCAUGGUCUUAUAACUAUCAGUCUUUCAUGAUAGCUUUCUUCUUGUGAGUUUACUCUCUUCCUUAACCAGGAACUAGGGUGUUUGAAUCACCAUAGAGAGCCUCACAAGACACACUUCUCAUUGCAUAAUGACCCAUGCUACACUUCCUGUAGACUUUGGACUGGAUAUUUCCAAUGGUAUUAUGCAAUGGCCAUCUCUCAUUGCAUAAUCAAUCACACUACACUUCCUGUAGAUUAUGGACUAACAUGUCCUAGUGAUGAUAUGCAAUGGCACUAGACCUUUGUCUCUACAUUCUUGGCUGUUGGCGAGUUACAUGUAUCACUCCUUGUGUACCUAACACCACCACAACUCAAUGCAAGAUCAGAUCAUCCCAUUGGGAUCAAACUAAGAUCAUCCAUCAUGUUUGAUCACCAAUGCCACAGCAAUUUAUAAUACUUGAAACAAGCACAAUCAAGGCAAGAACAAGCAGAUUUCAAUCUCUAAAAUGACAAUGCAAGCUCUAAACAAUACAUUGACAUUCUAGGUUCCCUUUUUUUUUUUUAAGUUCUCUAAAUGCAAUGCAAGCUUACAUCAGUACAUUUGCAAUUUAGGUUCAUUUUUAAAUGCAUCACUACAUGAAUGCACAAUCUUAAAGCAUUAGCUAUAUGAAUGCAACAGGUUCAAUCCAUGAGUUUUAUUAAAGCUAUGCACAACAGUUUCAAUCAAGACCAAUGAUGCAAGCAACUUAGACAAUUUCUAAUUGAUGCAGGACUUUCAUUGAUGGAUUAAACAUAGGCAUUAGCAUCAGAUCACAUUAGGAUUGAACUUAGACAGUAUGAGACAUGCUUAUGUAUGCAAAACAGCUUUUCAAACAUGAUGCAAGCAGUAGAGACAUUCUACUCAAUUCUACAACACAUCCAUGAUGAUUCAAGCUAUGGCAACACACAAGACAAUGCAAUAACCAAAACAUGAGAUUCUGGGACUCUAGACACCACUCACAGCACAAUAAAUAAAGACACAAGCUCUUAUUAAGGGUUAGGAGGUUUGCUUACAACCAAGAGAUCCGAGCUGAUCUCUUGAACCUCCAUGGACACGGCUCACUUGAACUUGGCAGGUUUGAGGCUUGGAUUCAGUAUCCAACACCUCUCCUUGGUGUGUCCAUCCCUCUUGCAAUGCUCACACCUCAGGCCUCUUCUAUCCCCCUUCUUGUACACCGGUUUCAUGGGCUGAGAGCUUCCUUCAGCGUGUGAGGCAAAGGUAAGUGGUUCCUUUGCUCCAAACAAUCCGUGUGAGCCCUCCUCCUUUUGGACUUGAGCACACACCUCUUCAAGGGUAGGUAGCUUCUCAGACCUCAAUAGGUGUUUGAUGAGGCCGCUGAAGGUGGGACUGAGAGUUAGGAGCAGCCCAAACACUUUAUCUUGCUCCCUUCUUUCAUUCAACACAUCCGGCUCAAAUGAUUGAGGUCUAAGCAUCUCUAGCUCAGACCAAAGGGCUCUGAACUUUCCUAGAUGAGUAGUGAACUCCUCUUCUUCUUGGGACAUGUUGUUGAUGGCCUUCUUGAUCUCAAAGACUCGGCUGAGGUUGGACAGGUUCCCAUAGAUCUUCUUAAGUGUACUCCAAAGCUCUUUAGCACUCUCACAGUAGGAGUAGGCUUCAAGAAUGGAUGGAUCCAAGGAGCUUUGGAGUAUGGAGAGGACAGUGAGGUCUUCUUGUAGCCAUCUGUCUUCAGAGACCGGUUUGGAACUUGCUUCACCUUCAGCUUGUGUGGUGACAGCUUUGGAGUGGUUUGGAGCAUCUGAGAUGCAAUGGCUCCAUAAACCCUUUCCUCCUAUGGCUGUCUUGGCUAGGCGUGACCAGAGAAGGUAGUUGGGGCCUUUGAGAGUGACUGUGAUGACAAUGGCUCUUUUGGACUCCAUCUUGAGGCUGGAAAGAGCAAAACUGUCAAGGAACUUCUUCAAAGGCUGGCUCUUGGGAGCUGAGUGAACUGAGCUGAACUGGCGUGGGCUGGAGCUUGUGUUUGUUGCGGAAGCUUCUACCAGGAGUCUGAGCAACCUGGCUCUGAUACCAUGUGAGAUUUUCAGAGUACAAGUGCUUGAGUGAUGUAAGAACAGAUGAGAGAUUUGUGUAUGAUGAAGUAUGAAGAAUAGAAAUGAGUUUAAGAGAAUCAGAGAGAGUAUGGGAGAGACUAAGAGAUUAGGAACGUGUAUGGGAGAUUAGAGAGACUUAGUAACCAGAGAAUAAGAUCCAAGAACAAGUUUAUGAAGAAGAGAGACUCUCUCAGCUUAAAGGUUACAAAAUGAUCCUAAGAGGCUUAUUUAUGCCUUUACACAACUCAGAUCAUAAACCUAGAUCCUAAGGCUGUAAAUUAAAGAUAAAUGGAUGGUUAGGAUGAGAGGAAGCUGGUCUUUGAUGUUCUGGUGCUAGCUGGUCGUGGUUGGACUGAAUGGAGGGCUCAGAUUGCUUCAUUUGAAUUGGAUGGAUCAGAUGAGUCAAGGCUGUAAAGGUAAAGCACCUUUACCUUUCCAGCUCAUUCCAACAGCUCACCUUAUCCAUUUGAUUCUUCCUUUGCCUCCAAGACUCCCCAACUGACAUAAGGAAAGGAUUGGACCGCCCACACAUUGCACAUCUUGAUUUGGGCUUAACCGGAUGACUUGGGCGAGAGGAGUGAGCUGUACGGUCAUUGGUACGGACCUCCUGUCCGUACCACUUGCCCUAUCUUUGUACAUUGCCCUAUCUUCCCUCUUGAUUACCCAGACAUCUUCAUGGCUUGCCCUAGGCCGUACAUGGCCGUACUGAACGCCCUAGCUUUGCACCACACUUCCAUCUUCUCUCUAACUCCUUCACUACAAGGCCGCCCUAUAAUUGCACCUUGGACCAUCUUCUCUCUAACUCCUUCACAGCCUUCACAUGAUCAGUCUAAGUCUUUCCUAGACUUAACUUCACAAGAUAACUACUUCAGAACACCUCUAAAGCUUGAUUGAACUCUUCUGGACAUCUUCUAGAGCUUGCCCUAUUAUUGUACAAGCUCUAUCUUCUCUUCAGUUCAACACUCCCCCUCAAGCUUGACUUUAGGAGAUCCUAAGCCAAGCUUGGAACUCUGAAGAGUCUCCCUCAUUAAAAACCUUACAAGGAAAACCCAUUGGGACAAAACCUUGCAAGGGAAAAAGAGUAGAGCUCUCCAAAGCCUAGGGAUUGGCCAGUGAGCUCUUGUGCCUUAGAACCAGUGUGGUUGGACACAAGAAGCUCUGGAUCACGGCCAAAUAGGUGCAGCAAUACUUCACAGCUUUGCGCACACUUCACACCUCAGCUUCACCUCUUCAUGGAACCGGUUUGGGGCUCCCCCUCUCAACAAGCUUCAUAGCCUUCUUAGAAAGGCAAGGAUGCGACCGGAUCAUCUUUAAACAUCAGUGAGGCUGAGCAAGACUUCAAACUAUGCUUGCCCUCUUCAUAGAACUGGUUUGGAUCUCCCCCUCUCAACAGACUUCACAGCCACCUUAGAGAAGCUAGGAAAUGACCAGGAACAUCUUUAGUGAGGCUCAAGCAAUGGUACCUGAUACAUUAUCCCAAAGGUGCAUCAGUACUUAUCAAGAAACAUCACACAAUCCAUUCAAACAUUUUAAGUAUCAUUUCUAGACUUUGAUUUGAAAUGAUGAAUGUAUUGAAUUGAAUUGAGUUUAGGGACACUUCCCUUUUGUUUUGAUGAGUUCCCACUCGGCCAUUGCACCAUCUCCAUGGCAUCAUCAACUUCUUGGAAAGGUAGAAUGGAUUCAUCAGCUUCUCAUCAAUCACUUCACCAUAGAAGCCGCUUUGAUGAGUUCACUUUCUUCCUUAGACUGCCUAGAAUAGCUCCGGCUGAUGAUCCUUUGUAGGAGCCUUUGCAAAGACUUGUUACUGACCAUGGAUCAUAUGCAUUAAGACUCCCCCUCAAGCUUAGAACCGAGACUAGAAGGAGCUAAGCUUGUGAUGAUCAUAUGCAUCCCCGUGGUCUUAUAACUAUCAGUCUUUCAUGAUAGCUUUCUUCUUGUGAGUUUAAUCUCUUCCUUAACCAGGAACUAGGGUGUUUGAAUCACCAUAGAGAGCCUCACAAGACACACUUCUCAUUGCAUAAUGACCCAUGCUACACUUCUUGUAGACUUUGGACUGGAUAUUUCCAAUGGUAUUAUGCAAUGGCCAUCUCUCAUUGCAUAAUCAAUCACACUACACUUCCUGUAGAUUAUGGACUAACAUGUCCUAGUGAUGAUAUGCAAUGGCACUAGACCCCUUUGUCUCUACAUUCUUGGCUGUUGGCGAGUUACAUGUAUCACUCCUUGUGUACCUAACACCACCACAACUCAAUGCAAGAUCAGAUCAUCCCAUUGGGAUCAAACUAAGAUCAUCCAUCCUGUUUGAUCACCAAUGCCACAGCAAUUUAUAAUACUUGAAACAAGCACAAUCAAGGCAAGAACAAGCAGAUUUCAAUCUCUAAAAUGACAAUGCAAGCUCUAAACAAUACAUUGACAUUCUAGGUUCUUUUUUUUUUUUUUAAGUUCUCUAAAUGCAAUGCAAGCUUACAUCAGUACAUUUGCAAUUUAGGUUCAUUUUUAAAUGCAUCACUACAUGAAUGCACAAUCUUAAAGCAUUAGCUAUAUGAAUGCAACAGGUUCAAUCCAUGAGUUUUAUUAAAGCUAUGCACAACAGUUUCAAUCAAGACCAAUGAUGCAAGCAACUUAGACAAUUUCUAAUUGAUGCAGGACUUUCAUUGAUGGAUUAAACAUAGGCAUUAGCAUCAGAUCACAUUAGGAUUGAACUUAGACAGUAUGAGACAUGCUUAUGUAUGCAAAACAGCUUUUCAAACAUGAUGCAAGCAGUAGAGACAUUCUACUCAAUUCUACAACACAUUCAUGAUGAUUCAAGCUAUGGCAACACACAAGACAAUGCAAUAACCAAAAACAUGAGAUUCUGGGACUCUAGACACCACUCACAGCACAAUAAAUUAAGACACAAGCUCUUAUUAAGGGUUAGGAGGUUUGCUUACAACCAAGAGAUCCGAGCUGAUCUCUUGAACCUCCAUGGACACGGCUCACUUGAACUUGGCAGGUUUGAGGCUUGGAUUCAGUAUCCAACACCUCUCCUUGGUGUGUCCAUCCCUCUUGCAAUGCUCACACCUCAGGCCUCUUCUAUCCCCCUUCUUGUACACCGGUUUCAUGGGCUGAGAGCUUCCUUCAGCGUGUGAGGCAAAGGUAAGUGGUUCCUUUGCUCCAAACAAUCCGUGUGAGCCCUCCUCCUUUUGGACUUGAGCACACACCUCUUCAAGGGUAGGUAGCUUCUCAGACCUCAAUAGGUGUUUGAUGAGGCCGCUGAAGGUGGGACUGAGAGUUAGGAGCAGCCCAAACACUUUAUCUUGCUCCCUUCUUUCAUUCAACACAUCCGGCUCAAAUGAUUGAGGUCUAAGCAUCUCUAGCUCAGACCAAAGGGCUCUGAACUUUCCUAGAUGAGUAGUGAACUCCUCUUCUUCUUGGGACAUGUUGUUGAUGGCCUUCUUGAUCUCAAAGACUCGGCUGAGGUUGGACAGGUUCCCAUAGAUCUUCUUAAGUGUACUCCAAAGCUCUUUAGCACUCUCACAGUAGGAGUAGGCUUCAAGAAUGGAUGGAUCCAAGGAGCUUUGGAGUAUGGAGAGGACAGUGAGGUCUUCUUGUAGCCAUCUGUCUUCAGAGACCGGUUUGGAACUUGCUUCACCUUCAGCUUGUGUGGCGACAGCUUUGGAGUGGUUUGGAGCAUCUGAGAUGCAAUGGCUCCAUAAACCCUUUCCUCCUAUGGCUGUCUUGGCUAGGCGUGACCAGAGAAGGUAGUUGGGGCCUUUGAGAGUGACUGGGAUGACAAUGGCUCUUUUGGACUCCAUCUUGAGGCUGGAAAGAGCAAAACUGUCAAGGAACUUCUUCAAAGGCUGGCGCUUGGGAGCUGAGUGAACUGAGCUGAACUGGCGUGGGCUGGAGCUUGUGUUUGUUGCGGAAGCUUCUACAAGGAGUCUGAGCAACCUGGCUCUGAUACCAUGUGAGAUUUUCAGAGUACAAGUGCUUGAGUGAUGUAAGAACAGAUGAGAGAUUUGUGUAUGAUGAAGUAUGAAGAAUAGAAAUGAGUUUAAGAGAAUCAGAGAGAGUAUGGGAGAGACUAAGAGAUUAGGAACGUGUAUGGGAGAUUAGAGAGACUUAGUAACCAGAGAAUAAGAUCCAAGAACAAGUUUAUGAAGAAGAGAGACUCUCUCAGCUUAAGGGUUACAAAAUGAUCCUAAGAGGCUUAUUUAUGCCUUUACACAACUCAGAUCAUAAACCUAGAUCCUAAGGCUGUAAAUUAAAG